GGAUUGCCUUAGUAACGGCGAGUGAAGCGGCAACAGCUCAAAUUUGAAAUCUGGCUCUUUCAGAGUCCGAGUUGUAAUUUGCAGAGGGCGCUUUGGCUUUGGCAGCGGUCCAAGUUCCUUGGAACAGGACGUCACAGAGGGUGAGAAUCCCGUACGUGGUCGCUAGCUAUUGCCGUGUAAAGCCCCUUCGACGAGUCGAGUUGUUUGGGAAUGCAGCUCUAAAUGGGAGGUAAAUUUCUUCUAAAGCUAAAUAUUGGCCAGAGACCGAUAGCGCACAAGUAGAGUGAUCGAAAGAUGAAAAGCACUUUGGAAAGAGAGUCAAACAGCACGUGAAAUUGUUGAAAGGGAAGCGCUUGCAGCCAGACUUGCUUGCAGUUGCUCAUCCGGGCUUUUGCCCGGUGCACUCUUCUGCAGGCAGGCCAGCAUCAGUUUGGGCGGUGGGAUAAAGGUCUCUGACACGUUCCUUCCUUCGGGUUGGCCAUAUAGGGGAGACGUCAUACCACCAGCCUGGACUGAGGUCCGCGCAUCUGCUAGGAUGCUGGCGUAAUGGCUGUAAGCGGCCCGUCUUGAAACACGGACCAAGGAGUCUAACAUCUAUGCGAGUGUUUGGGUGUCAAGCCCGAGCGCGUAAUGAAAGUGAACGGAGGUGGGAACCCGCAAGGGCGCACCAUCGACCGAUCCUGAAGUUUACGGAAGGAUUUGAGUAAGAGCAUGGCUGUUGGGACCCGAAAGAUGGUGAACUAUGCUUGAAUAGGGUGAAGCCAGAGGAAACUCUGGUGGAGGCUCGCAGCGGUUCUGACGUGCAAAUCGAUCGUCAAAUUUGGGCAUAGGGGCGAAAGACUAAUC
rnacentral:rRNA from 1 species